GCAAGUCGUACGUGAAAGCUUCCUUCGGGAAGUGAUUAAAGUGGCGCACGGGUGAGUAACACGUGGAUAACCUACCCGACAGUCAGGGAUAACAUUUCGAAAGGAAUGCUAAUACCUGAUAAGCCUACGCCCUCCUCGGAGGAAGUAGGAAAAGGUGGGGACCUUCGGGCCUGCCGUUGUCGGAUGAGUCCGCGGCCCAUUAGCUAGUUGGUAGGGUAAUGGCCUACCAAGGCGACGAUCAGUAGCCGGCCUGAGAGGGUGAAC
rnacentral:rRNA from 1 species